ensembl:lncRNA
GUCCUUUGUCGGAAGCUGGUUUCCCAGGUAGCCUGUGUCGGAUAUAGAAACUUUCCAAGUUCUAUUCUAGCAUUCCAAUAGCCUUUCCAGCAGUGCAUAGGUUUCCAAUAGCAGCCAAGAGCAGCUGUGGACUUCAGAGUUAUUGGCACAAAGAAGGACCAAGAAACUAAGGGUGGCCAGCCAAAUGCUGAAGACCACCGGCCAGCAGAGCCUACACACAGCAGACAGAUGGGGCUCUCAGGAGAACUACGAUCAUCUAUGCUCAAGUGUGAGGGGAGUCCUGGUGUAUCCAAAACCAAAUUUUAUAAACGACAUUGGGGAAUAGACGGAGGGACCAUUCCCCUUGAAAAAGGCUGGAUGGUCCCCCCUUGAAAAGGGCCACCGUCAAACCGGAAGCAGUACCAUAAUAAAGUUUGC